rnacentral:rRNA from 1 species
UACGGAUGGUGCGAGCGUUAAUCGGAAUUACUGGGCGUAAAGCGCGCGUAGGCUGUUUUAUAAGUCGGAUGUGAAAUCCCCGGGCUCAACCUGGGAACUGCAUCCGAAACUAUUUAACUAGAGUAUGGGAGAGGUAAGUAGAAUUUCCGGUGUAGCGGUGAAAUGCGUAGAUAUCGGAAGGAAUACCAGUGGCGAAGGCGGCUUACUGGACCAAUACUGACGCUGAGGUGCGAAAGCGUGGGGAGCGAAC